rnacentral:rRNA from 1 species
CCUACGGGGGGCAGCAGUGGGGAAUUUUGGACAAUGGGCGCAAGCCUGAUCCAGCAAUGCCGCGUGCAGGAAGAAGGCCUUCGGGUUGUAAACUGCUUUUGUACGGAACGAAAAGGUCUGGGUUAAUACCCUGGGCUCAUGACGGUACCGUAAGAAUAAGCACCGGCUAACUACGUGCCAGCAGCCGCGGUAAUACGUAGGGUGCAAGCGUUAAUCGGAAUUACUGGGCGUAAAGCGUGCGCAGGCGGUUUUGUAAGACAGGCGUGAAAUCCCCGGGCUCAACCUGGGAAUGGCGCUUGUGACUGCAAAGCUGGAGUGCGGCAGAGGGGGAUGGAAUUCCGCGUGUAGCAGUGAAAUGCGUAGAUAUGCGGAGGAACACCAAUGGCGAAGGCAAUCCCCUGGGCCUGCACUGACGCUCAUGCACGAAAGCGUGGGGAGCAAACAGGAUUAGAUACCCCUGUAGUCA